rnacentral:rRNA from 1 species
GCUCAGGACGAACGCUGGCGGCGUGCCUAAUACAUGCAAGUCGAGCGGACCAAAGGGAGCUUGCUCCUGGGGGUUAGCGGCGGACGGGUGAGUAACACGUGGGCAACCUGCCCUGUAGACUGGGAUAACAUCGAGAAAUCGGUGCUAAUACCGGAUAAUAGAUGGAACUGCAUAGUUCCAUUUUAAAAGAUGGUUCUGCUAUCACUACAGGAUGGGCCCGCGGUGCAUUAGCUAGUUGGUAAGGUAACGGCUUACCAAGACGACGAUGCAUAGCCGACCUGAGAGGGUGAUCGGCCACACUGGGACUGAGACACGGCCCAGACUCCUACGGGAGGCAGCAGUAGGGAAUCUUCCGCAAUGGACGAAAGUCUGACGGAGCAACGCCGCGUGAGUGAUGAAGGGUUUCGGCUCGUAAAGCUCUGUUGUUAGGGAAGAACAAGUGCCUGAGUAACUGCAGGCA